GAGGAGGGUUCUUCCGGGUGGCUUGCUGCACGUUUGUUUCGGCUGUGCAGGCUUGAAUGGUUCUUUUCGUCCUGCUUGCGUGCUGUGAAGGGACCUCAAGCAAGCUCCGAAGUUGAGACAUGGCUACAAUUGGGAAGACCAUCAUAUUGAAGAACAUUGUCAAAAUUCUAGAAGACAUGAAAGGCAUGAAAGAAGUCAUAUUGGAGAGAAACCCUAUGAACGUAAUCAAUGUGGUAAAGCCUUUGCAUGUUACAAUCAUCUCCAAAUACAUAAGAGAACACAUACCGGACAGAAACCUUAUGAAUGUAAUCAAUGUGGUAAAGCCUUUUCACGACAGAGUAAUCUCCAAUAUCAUAAAAGAACACAUACUGGAGAGAAAACUUAUGAAUGUAAUCAAUGUGGUAAAGCUUUUGUAAGACCCAGUCAACUCCAAACACAUAAAAGAACACAUUCUGGAGAGAAACCCUAUGAAUGUAAUCAAUGUGGUAAAACCUUUUCACGACAGAGUAGUCUCCAAUAUCAUAAAAGAACACAUACUGGAGAGAAAACUUGUGAAUGUAAUCAAUGUGGUAAAGCUUUUGUAAGACCCAGUCAACUCCAAACACAUAAAAGAACACAUUCUGGAGAGAAA
rnacentral:lncRNA from 1 species